GCGGAGGUGGCACAGUGGCACUGCGUCUGCCUGCAGAGCAGAUUUUCGGGAGUUCGAUUCUCCCCCUCCGCU
rnacentral:tRNA from 1 species